AGCACCUUGUAAGAACGAAUAACUAAGAAGUGUUAAGUCAUUGGAAAUAAGAAGACACAUGUUAGUCACUCAGGGCUUUUCUAAUCUGUAAUCUUAACUACUGAACAUGCCUUCCAAAUAGGAAAAGAAACAACACAGUGGCUAAUGAUUCAUUUGAUUUUUCUGUCGACUUGCGCUUCCACUGAAGGGAACGAAUCAUUGCAGGGGCGUGGAAAGACAAUGGGCCUCCUAUCCCAGGAAUAACGGAAUACACCUCCUUAGUGGAUGUUUUGGUGCACAUCUUUAAUCCCAGCACUGGGGAGGCAGAGGAGAGUGAUAGAGAAUCCGUGGUGAGAGCGGAUGACAAACGCUCAUGGUCAGUGGCCGUCUUGAUCCAGAUGAACUCUGCCAGUACAACAUUGAAUUAAAAGGUAAAACCAGGAGCUGGAGAGACGGCUCAGUGGUUAAGUUGUUUUCCUAUGAAGCCUAAGGACCCAGAUUCAAUUCCUCAGUAUCCACAUAAGCCAAAUAUAC